CUGACUUCCAGCAACAUGAAAAGGCUUUGCUGAAAUAGCUGGAGAAUGGGUCCCUGUCUCCUGCCACUUACUCGCCCUGCUCCUGGUGUACGGCACACCGCAUGUGCUAAAGUGGAUUUCUCAUCCUGCUCCAAGUUAGCCAAGAGCAUCUGUACAACCACUGGGAAGUCAACUUCACUUCAGAUCUCGCCUGCACCUCUCCACCUUAUGGUCUGCCCAGGAGCUAAUGGAUUUGGAGAUGUAGCAGACCUGGAGCUAACUCUAUCCUGCCGCUUAUUAGUGAGGCAGUCUUGGGCAGAGAGAACACUGACUCAGUUGAAAGUGCUCAGAAAGUCUUGACCUCAUAGAAUUCUUGCAAGUAUUAAAUGAGAAAAUGAAUAUAAAAGACUCAGCAGAGCACGUGACAUAAAAUAAGGACUAAAGAAAGAGAGGAUGUUGUUGCUACAAAUAUUACUACCUCCAGUUGUCAAAAUCCUUUCAUCAUGCCAAAAGUUAAUCCAAAUGCAACCUCCAAGGUUAUUGUAUUUGGAAGCGCUCUUUCCCCUCUGAACUGUAGAGCUAAAUUGCAUAGAGGGGAUUUCUC
rnacentral:lncRNA from 1 species